rnacentral:rRNA from 1 species
UACGGAGGGGGCUAGCGUUGUUCGGAAUUACUGGGCGUAAAGCGUGCGUAGGCGGUUUGUUAAGUCUGUCGUGAAAUCCCCGGGCUCAACCUGGGAAUGGCGAUGGAUACUGGCGAGCUAGAGUGUGUCAGAGGAUGGUGGAAUUCCCGGUGUAGCGGUGAAAUGCGUAGAGAUCGGGAGGAACAUCAGUGGCGAAGGCGGCCAUCUGGGACAACACUGACGCUGAAGCACGAAAGCGUGGGGAGCAAACAGG